UUUGAUUACACGCUCGCCGCCGGCUGAACUUUAUCCAACUCCUCUCCUUCCUGCGUAGAAAAACAACCAGGUGACGCCGUCGUCAGGUCACCCUCGUUCGCUCGGUCUCCCGCCAUUCGCAUUGUCGCUUUUUUCCCACCGAUCGGCCACAAAGCCCCGCCCACUGCAAGUUUAGCCAUUCACCAAUAAGGAUCCGACUCACCCAUCUCGUUGUCUGACUUGUUGUCCAUUUCCGUGUCGGUGAGCGUGAGCGCCGAGUUGGAGCGGCUGGAGAGGCACGAGUUGCCGCCCCCCUUGCCCCAAAGGGCGACGGUACGUUCCGGGGACUGGGGUUCGCACCCCUGCGAGGCGGAGGCGGGCCCCCGGGCGUAGGUGCCGAGGGGGUGCGACGGGCCCCUCUCGGGGCACGGCGCCAGGCCUCGGCGAGGCUCGCAGAUGCCGAGCUGCCUCAGCGAGAACGUCUGCCCUGCGGAAGGGAAGCGAUAAAAGUUAACAAAGCGAGUGAAAAACAAGGCUAACGACCGGGAGACGGGCACGCUAAUGUGGCGGAAGGAAUUAGGCUGGCAGCCUGUAAACUUGUAAACACUUCCCUCCCCCCCCAGUCACUUCACGAGUUUUUCUUCAGCUGCUGCCUCCCAGCUCACGACUGCCACGUUUGCUUGUCGGGAGAAGCACGUCGCGUCAACUCAAUGAUCUGUCAACGUGCCUACAGGGGGAGCCCUUAAGGUCUUCUGGUGACACUCCUACACCCCCUUACCAACCGCCACCCAACUUCCCCGCCCUCCUCCUCUCACGUCUUGCCUUUGAUCGUGCGCUUGAAUCGGGACAGGCAGCCACCCGUGAAGCCUCCGCGGAUCAGCGGCCGAAAUUAGUGUCACAGUGUCGGGGAAAGAGACACUCGGUGAUCUAUGGAACACCGCACACACUUCCCGAUGACUCCCAUGCCAGACGAGGCCUCCCCCCAAACGCCCAGUCCCCCACCGUAGUGUGUACUAAAGUAUGUUUAAGGGCUGACGUGUCCGAGUCAAUUGGCCCUUUGGGGCCACUUUGUGGUUCAGCUGCAGAAGCCCUGGACACAAAACCUUUCAAAAUGUCUAAGAAACAGAUUGUUAAGGGUGGCUAAUGCUACGUACGAACGGCACCAGUACAAUGAUAAAAAUGGGAGUUACAACUUCAUGCGAACACAACCGCCAUAAAAUAAUAUUGAAGAUAAUAUAACACAGCACCUGGACAAUGAUAUUAAUGGUAGCUAGUACUCCGAGCUAACACAGCAUCCAAACAAUAAUGCUCAAGAUAAGCUAACCCAACACCAAUAUGGCUAAGAAUAUGCUAACACCACACCUGUGCAAUGAUACUAACGGUCAGUACAGCAACAAGCUAACGCAAAACCAAUAAUUACUGCAUUUUAGUAGAUGAUAUUAACGGUAGCAACUGCUACAAACUAACAACAAUAAAGCUAAAGAUAAGCUAAUGUAACUCACGUAAUUUUCCUUAGCGUUGUGUUCUGGCUUUUCAAUGAAAUACGAGUCGAAACUGGUCUCACAGGAUCUUCAAUCCAGCUCAGCCACUUGAACAAUGGGGCAUGUUUGUGCUAAAUAAUAGUGGGUAUGGUGUGCAACCCCAUUGUCAUCGCCGACUCUUCUCUACCACGUCGACAGUGGGUAUGUCAUUUUGCGCUGUCCUGCCCCACCUGCGCCUCGAACCAGGUGGCUAAGUGAGCAGCAAGUACCCUCUUUUGAGGAUUUGAGGAGUGAGAUUUACAUACAAAUUUGCAAAAGAUAAGAUAACUCAACACCAAUAAGGCCAAAGAUAAGCCUACGCAACACCUGUACAAUGAUACUGAUGAUAGCUAGUGCUCCAAGCUAACACAAUAAUGUUAAAGAUAAGCUAAUACCGUAUAUCACCUGCCCGAUGAUACUAACAGUCGCUACAGCAAUAAGCGAACACAACACUAAUAAUGCUAAAGAUAAGACCACAUAUAAAUAAUAUUAAUGUUAGUUAUUGCUACAAACUAUUACCAAUAAUGCAAAACAUAGGCUAGCACAACACUUAUAUAAUUGAUAUUAACAGUAGCUAGUACUCAAAGCCAACACACUAUUCAGACAAUAGAAAGAAAAAAGAAGUGUAAUUUUCCGGGUGUUUUGUUGAUACGCUCAUGGAGGUGGUUAAUGAUGAGGACAAGAAACAAGUUCAAUUUUGUAUUAAGAAAACAGCAAUCAUACACAAGGGAUUUCCGUGCACCGGAAAUCGUUCAGCAAGCAUCUUGCAAAAAUCUUUCCAUCCGGUUUACAUCUUUUAUCUUGAACGCAUUGGCCCUGAUCCUAGGUGUUGUUAGAAAAUGGUUCAUAAUAUUCCAUUCAGAAAGUCUGUGAAUGCCUUGCUCUAUACAUUUGCAACCUCUGAUAGUACAAAGUAUGACGAUAGUCGCUCAAGCGUCAUAAAAUAUUGCUCAAGUGAUGUUUAAAGUGAUGACGAAGAUAUAAUAUCUAACAUACGUUAACACAACACCAGUAUCGUGAUAUGCAUGACAGCUAGUACUCCAAGCUAACAUGAUGUCCAUACAAUAAUGCUUAAGAUAAACUAACAGAACACCAAUAAUCCUAAAGGUAAGCUAACACAACACCUGUCUCAUGAUAUGCAUGAUAGCUAGUACUCCAAGAUAACACCGUGUCUGUAAAAUAAUGCUUAAGAUAAGAUAACACCACACCAACAAUGUUAAGACAACAUAUGUACGAUGGUACUAACGGUCGCUACCGCAAGCUAGCACAAAGCCAAUAAUGCAAAAGAAAACACAAGACCUGUACAAUGAUAGUAAUGGUUGCUAGUAUUACAACCUAACACAGCUUCCAUGCUUUAAUCCUAAAGAUAAUCUAACACUGUCUUUGACACAAAAUUGAACUGCAUCCCGGAGGCCGCAGCGUGAAUAAAAAAAAAAAUACUCCUGAAGAGUGCGUACCCCUGACAUCGACACACAUAAGCAUUUUUUGCAAAACAGAUGAAGCCACUGUCGCUCCAAAAUGCUGAAAGGGCAACUCUUCCCCCACGUAAGCAAUUUCUGCCACCCCGAUACCGUAAUUAUAUUUCCCGCAUCAGCCAACAUCUCCCCGUCGGUGACCUCUGUAAAUAAUGCUAAUAAAGCUCUCCGGUGUGGCUCCCAGAGAGCGUCCAAUUGUCAGCCAGAGUGGCCUGGACCGCCACGGUGACAACGGGGCCACGGAAGGGUGAUGAGGGGACGUCGCCAGAGGGGCCCGGCGGUGGUGGUGUCUGCGGAGCCUCCGACAAUGCUCGCCUCUGACAGGUGUUCUCUUUUUGGCAUUUUCGGGAAACGGGCAACAUCUACUCGGCUCGUCUGGGAUGAGUGGAACGGCCUACAGCCACACAAGCAACCAUUUGGCCCAAAAUUGCCAAAAAACUGUCCGGGGCUAAUGCAAGGCAGUGCCGGGAAUACUGUACAUGGCGCCCAUAAACCAUGUGACAUGGAUUUAACCAGUGCAGAGCAGAGCGGGCAAUAAGUGUCAGCUGAACGCCUCGCAAAGCAAGACGGACGGCCUUCUCUACGAGAUCGGAGACGUUUUCCGCGCCGAUGGCGAAAGGAUGACAAUAUCCGUCACGUUUAAACAAUCAGCGCAGACACUCGCCCGACCGUAAUCAAGGCACGGCUUUUUGAACGUCUCAGGGGGAAGAAAAAAAAAAAACGGGUGGCCGCCAUGACCUCCGCUGCAGGGCCACUUUGCGACGAAGGCUAUAAAUCAACGGGGCCUGUAACAGACGCACUACUCCGACGAAAUCGGAUCAAGCGCUUGCGUCGUGGAGCACUUAAAGGACUUCUUCUCCAAUGCUUCAUGCUGGAGACUCAAUAAAAGGCAAGAGAAAAGAGGGGGCGGCAAAUGUCCAGACUUGACUUUGUGGCGGUCGCAAUCACAUCUGGAAUCGCUGCACUUGUACUCAAAUGAGAUCAAACGACUAAAGAGCACCCGGCCGAAGCCAUUUUUCUUGGCGCAAGUUCGAGACGAGAGACAAAGUGUGGGAUUUGGGCCGAGUUACCUUCUGCCUUUGAUGCUUUAGAACAAAAUAUACACUCGUUUUUUGUUUCCCCCCCACCGUAGGAAAUAAUGGAAGUUAAAAUAAUAUGUACCUGGGUCAAACUGUGGCCAUCUUAAAGCCUUUAUUAACCAUACAGGCAAAAUUGAGAAAAAAAUAAAAAUAAAAAGUUGAACACA